AGGAGACUGGAGCCCCUCAGUGAAGAUGGGAGUUCAGAUGUAGAUGAUCAGAGUCCAGGAAAAAGCUUGGUGAAGAGGCCCUCACAGAAGAAGAAAAGACGUAAAAAGUCCACGACAGUGGAAGCAAUGGAUGGAGUUUCUGACCUCUCGUCCUGCAGUGACGAGGGGAGUUUAAAUAUAGAUGGUGAGUUAAAUAACGUUUAUUAUGAAAUUCACAAAAACUCCUGCCUUUUUACAAAGGACCCUGCUAGCUUUUUCUCAAACUUAGUAGAGUACUACUUUAAGGACAAUUCUGGAGCAAAAUUAACCUAGGGGUUAAUAACACGUGUACUGAGUCGACCAUUCUCAGGGAUAUGUUUUCAUGUCAAUUGAAUGCGUUUCUAGCUUUAAACAAGCUACUGCAAACCAGUGGUUAGCUGCUAACACUACCUUUUA